AACUUCCACUAAUCCAUUGGUUUUCCAUGUAGUUUGCUAGAAUCCAAAUCCACCUGCUUUUUCUCAUUAAAGUAUGCUGCAAUUUGAGAGUAAAACAUUCAGCGCCUAGUAAGUUUGUUGAAUAAAUGAAUGAAUGAAUAAGAAAAAGAAAGACACUGGAACAGAAACGGAAGAGCAAAGUUCAAAAGAAAAGAGAAUUUUUAGGCACUGCCAAGAUCUGCACAAAAGUCACAGAGAAAGACACAUGAGAAAAGGUCACUUGAUUUGGCAAGAAGUAGGUCAUCGGCAGAAUUUAGAGACACUUCUGUAAUGUGGUGGUAACAGAAUCCAAAUAGAAGGGAUUUAAGAUAAGAAUGAGUGGAUGGGAAGUGCAUGCGGCAAAUGGCAACUAUGUAUUUGAAAGGACUGGCUGUGAACUGAGGAGAGAGAGAGAGUUCAAUUUCUAGAAGGGAAAGCAAGUUCUACAAGCAUAUAAAAUUUACGAAGAAGCCAUGAAUCUCUGGAAACAUUCUGGAAACCUAGGAUUGAAGUAUAAAAUCUAAUCAUGUUGUGAAGGUCAAGAACCGUGAAGAUGCUGAAAUUUUUACCCUACUUACGAAACCAACAUGUUAGUUCCGUGGAUGGAGUUCCACGAUGCUGGAAGAAGACAUGAACUCCUGGGUCAGAGAUAAAGGACUUUACUUAAGGAAGAGCAAGCAGCGUGAGUUUUGUAUUAGCAUCAGUUCUUGUCUCUUAAGUCCCAUGGGGGUGAUGCAGAUGGGCUCAGAUGGAUGCCUGCAUAUACACUGUAAUGGGUUGCAUUAUAGGAGAACCCUGAACUUGGGGAAACUGAAUUGUUUAUAUUGGGCAGUAAGUAAACCUGCCUUUUCCUCUGAAAGAGACACUACCUUCUUUAUAUUAGACAAUAAAUUAAACUGCUCUUUGCUGCAGAGGAGGAUACCAUAUUGUCUAAGGCUGUUCACUAUACAGACAUCCCUGAUAAGACAGUCCAGAACAAAGGGCAAUCAGUGUCUCUCUUAUCUUUUAAUUUUUAAAGCAUUCACUUAUUAAUUUAAAAAUCUCUGUUAUACCUGCAGUACUCCCACUUCUCAUUCCUAGUAGCUUAUUUUUACUUCAUCACUUUUUCCCUUAUUCAAUCUUACCAGAGGUUUGUUCAGUUUGUCAAUGUUUCCAAAUACCAACACUUCAUUUUAUUGCUUCUGUACUUGACUUUUUUUUUUUAUUUCAUAGCUUUCUGUUCUUUUUGAUAUUAUUUUCCUUUUCCAACUUUCAUCGGGUUCAUUUAUUAUUUAGUUAUGGUAGUUAAAAUUUUUUAUGAUACCUUUCUCUUUAACUCCUGAAUCACCAGAAUUGUGUUUAAAAAUUUGCAAACAGAAAUAAUUAUUUUUAGCUAUUAUUUUAAUUUAUGUGUUUUCAUGAUAAGCUCUCAGCUGUAAAAAAAAAAAAAAACAAAUUUGAGAGGGCUGAACACAAUACAAGUUUAUUUCUUAUUCAUUCGAAGUCCAACAUAAAUGUUUCUAUAUAUGACACAGAAAGCAAGUUCCUUCCCUUUGAGAUUGCCAACAUUCUCAACAAGUAUCCCUGUGUGCUUUUGAUGAAGAGGAAGGAACAGUAUGGAAGAUUUCACAGGAUAUUCUGUGGUCAGGCCUGCAAGUACAUGCGUCACUUCUGCCCACAUUCAUAAGGACAGAGCUAAGUCUCAUAAAUACAAGGAAGGUGAAAAUGUGAUUUAACUGUAUGCCUAGCACAGAAAGGAGAAUCAGAAUCCCUGCCACAUUUUCUAAUGUAACUACAUUAUGGUCAUAACAUGUGUUCUGUAUGAUAUCAGUUCUUUGAAAAAUUUAAGACACAGCCCAUUUUUGCAAGUGUUUUUUUGUGUGUGUUGGAAAAUAAUGUAUAUUUUCCAAUUACUAAAUGCAAGUGUCUGUAUAUGUAUAUCAACUAAAUCAAAGUUGUUGAUUUUAUUGUUCAAAUUAUUUGCAUCCUAUUGGUUUUCCUUACCUACUUUAUGCAUUAAUAGCUAAGAGAUAUGUAUUAAAAAUUUCCCACAGUGUUGGUGGAUUUGUCAAUUUCUCCAUAGGUUUUAAAAUUUAUAUGCAAUUUAUUUUGAGGCUAUGAUAUUAAACAAUGUAAAUUUGCAAAUGUGAUCUCUUUUUAUUAUAUUCUUUAUUUUUAUAGAGUUCUCUUAUUAGUAUUUUUUUCCUUUAAAGAAUAUUUUGACUGAUAUUAAUUAUGGUCAUAUUACUUUUUUUUUUUGGUUAAAUUUGCCGGGUUCUCCUUCUGAAACUUUGAUUAGAUAUUUUGGACUUUCUCACUCUAUUCUUCUUGUGUCUUCAACUCUUUUAAAAUAUUUUGCAUCUUUUUAUCUCUAUUGCUUUAUUCUUUUUCUUCUUUUGCAGAAGAACAUUCCAUUUUAUUAAUUCUCUACUCCAUUGUAUCCAAGUUAUUUAACCUUUACAUUGAAUUUUUACUUUUAAUUAUUAUACUUUUUACUUCUAGGAGAACUUUGCCCUCAAAUUCUGCCUGAUUUCUUGCUGAUUAGUCAUAUUUUUACCUCUUUCUUGUUUAAAAAAUUUUUUUCCUUAAACACAUAAUUUUUCUAAAAAAUUUAUAAUAUAUUCCCUAUAUUUGUACAUUUCCAAUAUUCAAGUUUCUGUUGUUUAUUAUUUCUGUGACACUUGCAUGCAAUGGCUUAGUUCAAAUGUAUUUUGUGAUUUUUUAAAAUUGAUUCUGAAGUUGUAUUCGCAAUAAAACACAAUCCUUUGCACUUUUCUAAUAAAUACCAAGGUUGUGGAUUCAUUUCUCUAGGGAAAAUCUGUGUUUCUUUUUGCCACAUGUCUGCAGACAUUACAGGUCUGGAACUAGUUUAAAAUGAGUCCAGAAAGGAAAACUUUCAGCUUGUAAUUUUCCUUACCAUGUAAACAGUGCAAAUUUUGAUCCUAAAUUCAUGUCUGGACUUUCCAGUGGUACAGAUUCUCAGGAGAGCCUUUUCUCCCACAGUCAAAUCUUUGCCAGACACUUUUGCUUGCUGCCUUCCUGUGUGAGGGGUCAUUUGUUUACUUAUGUUGUUCUAGUGAACUCUUUUCCAUGUGCUGACCUUCCUGCGCAUGGCUUCUGUGCUGGUGGUCACUAAUGAAACUCUCUGCUCUCUGAAAAUGCAAAGUUCCCGGCAGCCUGGAUGUGUGGGUACUCCCAGGGAACCCAGUUGCUGCAGUGCUCACUUAUUUCCCUAAAUUUAGAUUCUUACUUAAUUCCUGAGAGCCUCUUCCAUUCAUUUUAAAAGAGCUUUUAAUAUUUUAUCUAACUUUUUUUCAAUGACCUAAGACAUGAAUUUUUCUUUUAUUUUUCCAACUUGCAUUUAAAUACAGUUGGAAAAUAGUACAGAUAUUUGUAGGAGAUACCAUUUUUUUCAGUUUGUUACCAAUGCUGAGUGCCUUAAUGAAUUGUGGAUCUCUUGAAAUGAUUCCAACAAUUGUCAGAAUGGAUGAACUUUCAAUGGCAGAUUGAUUGGCAUCACUGUUAAGAGGCACGUGAAAACCCAAAGCUAGCACUUCGACUAAGUGACGCUGUUAGCCUCUGGGGUGUCAUGCCACUCUGUAGGGCUUGCUUUUUCUCAUCUCGAAUUGCAUUAGUUUAUCAAUUAUAUCUUCCCAAGUAAUAUGUAUUAUAGAUGUUCUAGGAUGUAUUAAUCUUUUUGAUCCCUAGGUGUUGUCUGGGACUACUUGAGCUCCUGCUAGUCACUUUUUUGAGUUUCUAGCAGUCUCAUGUCAUUACCCCAAUAUGCCAUACUAAUAUCAUUUUUCCACAUGUACUCUUAUAAAAAAGAUUAAGAAGAAUGGUCUAGCAGAUCUUUUAACAGUCUUUCUGUCUCUAAAGCUGUUCAUUCUAAAGAUUCUAUUAAUGCACUUUUCUUCUCUGGGCACUUACUCAUUGAAUGAGCAUAUUGUAUCCAAGAGAGAAGCGGAUGGAUUUUAGAGUUGCUUUGAACUGAAAUCUUCAAAAGGAGUCACAUAUCUUUGUUAAUGGGAAAAAUCUUAAGAAUUUGGUUCAAAAUGACUUGGUUAGAACUACUGACGCCAUUCUAGGAAAACAGUUGUGAUGAUUGGGACCAGCCAAGGCCCUUUAUGGCUCCAAAUUAUAUUCGCUCAUAACUACUUCCAUUGUGUUAGUUUACCUCCUCACUUGUUUUCCAUGAGCGCAAUAUUCUAGAGGCAACUUAGAGGUCAACUUACGUGCCACAUGUCCUUUCCUUUCUUUUUUUGUUUAUAUUUAACAGUGUGCUUUUGUCUUGCUUUAUGUUUUCCAUCCCUCUGUUUCCCUGCUAGUUUGAACAACGUGAAGAAGCAGAGCUUGAUUUUACUUCCCCAGGAUGCAUACCUAUAGAACAUAUCAAAAACAAUGAUUGGCUUUGCUAAUACCUGAAAGUAUGGAGCCCAACAUGCUCUACUUCUGAUUGUUACUAGCAUGAUUCUGAGUCAGGCUUUAAGGAGAAUGCUUAAUGCUCAACAACCCAGAGUUCAGUCUGGCUCUGAAGUAGCAUUGCUUAGGCUGGGAUGUUGUGUGCUGCUCAAAAAGCAGAUUUCUGUCUCCACCUGAGUCCUACUGAAUCUGAAUCUCUAUGAGCAAGAGGUCAGGGGAUCUGCAGUUUUACAAAACUGUAGUUGUAACUGUAGGGACUAUUUCUCUGGAAAUGCAAGAAAGAGCAAUUAAUUUGUCUGGAAAAUAGGGAAAGGGUUUGAAGAAGACAUUACAGAAGAGUUUUUGUUUUUGUUUAGUUUGUCUUUGAAGGAUGAAUCAAAUAAUUGGCUGAUGGGGAAGACCGGGACAGGAUAUUUCAGUCCGAAGGAGGGGCAUGAGUAGAGGUGCAAGAGUGAGGCUCCGUGGCGUAUUUUGAGAGCUGUAAGUGGUCUAAUGUGACUAGGUUGAUGCCUGAAACAGGAUGAGGGUGGAGAUAGGAAUCACAGAAGGCGGGUCUGAAAAGCAGAUUAGGACUGAAUUGGAAAAACUCUUGAGUGGUGAGGAAUUGCAUUUUAUUUCAUAGGCAAUAAAAGCCAUCAAAGAUUCAUGAUUAAAAUGUA
rnacentral:lncRNA from 1 species